GGACGGGUGAGUAACACGUGGGUAACCUGCCCUCAUGUGGGGGAUAACAUUUGGAAACAGAUGCUAAUACCGCAUAGAUCCAAGAACCGCAUGGUUCUUGGCUGAAAGAUGGCGUAAGCUAUCGCUUUUGGAUGGACCCGCGGCGUAUUAGCUAGUUGGUGAGGUAAUGGCUCACCAAGGCGAUGAUACGUAGCCGAACUGAGAGGUUGAUCGGCCACAUUGGGACUGAGACACGGCCCAAACUCCUACGGGAGGCAGCAGUAGGGAACCUUCCACAAUGGACGCAAGUCUGAUGGAGCAACGCCGCGUGAGUGAAGAAGGCUUUCGGGUCGUAAAACUCUGUUGUUGGAGAAGAAUGGUCGGCAGAGUAACUGUUGCCGGCGUGACGGUAUCCAACCAGAAAGCCACGGCUAACUACGUGCCAGCAGCCGCGGUAAUACGUAGGUGGCAAGCGUUAUCCGGAUUUAUUGGGCGUAAAGCGAGCGCAGGCGGUUUUUUAAGUCUGAUGUGAAAGCCCUCGGCUUAACCGAGGAAGCGCAUCGGAAACUGGGAAACUUGAGUGCAGAAGAGGACAGUGGAACUCCAUGUGUAGCGGUGAAAUGCGUAGAUAUAUGGAAGAACACCAGUGGCGAAGGCGGCUGUCUGGUCUGUAACUGACGCUGAGGCUCGAAAGCAUGGGUAGCGAACAGGAUUAGAUACCCUGGUAGUCCAUGCCGUAAACGAUGAAUGCUA
rnacentral:rRNA from 1 species